ensembl:lncRNA
UUCCACCACAGGAGAUCCACACCGAUGAGAAUUCUCAAAAGUGAUCCCAAUACCCUGAGCUUAAGCUCCAGUAUUUAUACUGUAUUUACACACUAGAUAACCCAUAUGUUUCCAGAAAAGGCCUAUUUCACUUACACAUAGAAUCAGAACCCAGGCAUUUCCAAUAACCCAGAAGAUAAAAACCCAGAGUUUUGAAUUACACAGAGAAUCAGAAACCAGGAUUCUCAUUUACCUUAGGUGGUCAGAAACCAGGAUUUUCAAUUACCUAGGGAAAUAAAAUGACGUAGACAAGAUGACUGAACAACCGGGGGGGACCUUGGUCUUAUCGUUAUCUCGAGGGGGGGGGGGGGGGGGGGCAGUUUGACCCAGCCGCCCUUAUAACUGGCUCUCUUCAUGGUUCUCUAAAAAUUAAGGCUUUCCUUGCGAGAUGAGAAUCUUCACCAUCUGAAUCAUGAGUUCCAGGUUCCCCGUAGACCCUGAAAAGGAUAAGCAGUAGAAGAUGGAUACAUGGAUGGAUGGAAUUACUUUUUAACAAUCAUGGGUUUUACAUAAGAUCUUGGGAGGUACAUAAUUGUAUAGUUCACUGUCCAGGGGCUACUGGGAGGCUGUGUACCAUAUGAUAUAUGCGUAACUUUUCUUUAUGAAAGGCACAGUAAAGUAUGUUUGGGAAAAAGUAUUUAUCUUUUCCUUCUUAAUGGGAGGUCCAGGGUUCUGCCUAGAAGAACCAGGGUAGAUGGUUUUGGAUCAUACAUUUAGAUGCAAGGAUAACAUUAAAAGACGUUAAAAAUUAAACAUAUAAAGCACCCGCCCAGAACACAGUAGGGAAAAAAUAGAUAGAGGCCAUUGCCUAGGAAUAGAUAAGGACCGCAUGCACUCGCACUCGUGACUCAGCAAAAGGAGAAGAGCAGAUGCAGGCAAAAGUUUUCACUAGAAAAAACUCAAGGGCCAGUCAGAAAAGACAUAAGAGAAAAAGUACGAACUAAGAUAAGGGCACUCCCUAAAGGUACAUGGAUGGUUUAAUUGUAUAUAAGAUACAUUGUAAACGAUUGUUUCUUGUUGCAUGUGUCACUUUUUGUUGUCUUGCUGACUGCUGAAUAAACCUGCUUCUUCUGAAUCCAGUCCACAUGAGUUCUGCUAUGUUAUUUCUCUAAAUUAUAAGUCAGAUUGGUUAAUAAAGUACAUAAGCUUUGACAUUUAUGAUCUAGCAGGGCCAGUUCAGGCUGAAGAAGAGGAAAAUUUCAUGCAUUCCCACAAUUCAGAGAGUCUACAUAGAGAGUCCAGAUAGUCCACUCUCAGUUAUGGAGGGAAUCAGUGUAUGUUUUCCAAAAGUAUAUUUCCUCUUUGCUGAACAGGAAAGCCAUAAGUGUGGUUCCACCCAAAGUCAGAGUGGUUUUAACUCUAGAUGCUUCCUUGUUCCAAAGAAAGGGACACAGGCUCUAUGCCCCAUAUUAGGCUUACAUGCACUGAACAAAUACCUAAGGAAAUAUAGGUUCAUAAUGCUCACUCAUUCAACAUUCCUGAAACUUGUACGCCCAGGCGAUUGGUUCAUGUCAAUCGACCUGAAGGAUGCUUAUUUCCAUAUAUAGGAAUUUAUCCACCCCAUGGGAAAUUCUUGAGGUUUGCGUUUCAUGGGGUGACACACGAAUAUUUAGAUCUUCCUUUCAGCUUGUCUCUUAGCCCAAGAGUGUACUUCAAAUGCACAGAAGCUGCUUUAUCUCCACUUAGAGAACAGCGCCUCUGACAAUUAGGGCUCAUAGCUUCAGUGCUGAUAAUCAUUCCCCUAGGUUGAUUAUUCAUGAGAGAGAGUUCCAACCCUGGGUAGUCUCUCUGAGACUACACCCGUUAUGGCACGUCCUCGGAGGAGAGUAAGAGACGUCAGAGGUGGUGCUGGCACUGCACCAGUAGAGACUCCCAUUCUUUUUAACUCAAGGGGUACCCAUGGACGUUGUUCAGGCCAGAAAAGUCAUUACGACAGAUGAGUCACUGAUCAGUUGGGGGGGGCGGCAUCCCCGAGGGCAGGGUGGUCUUUGAUCACUCCUCUUACACAUGUUGGCACGCAAACUGAUUUUAUGUGCCAAAUCCCACUGGCAAUCCCUGAAUACGAUGCCCGUUAUGUGAUCCACCAAACAACGCUUAUUGCACUGGAUAGUGGAAGCUAUCCUUGGCAUAUUCCAGUAAGGGUCUUAUAUCCCCAGCACAUUCAAAAUGGGGAACGUCGGCUUCAUGGGCUCUUUUUAAGGGAGUCACGAUACAGGAUAUUUGUGGAACUGGUCCUCAUCACACACAUUUACAAGGUUCUCAACCUUGAUUUUUUAAACUUUGCAGAUUUUUAACAUUCACAAACAGCUAUAUAACACACUACAUGAAAGGUAAUAUCUGAAUAAGCAUAAUAGGGACACUAACACACCAACCGAGGCUGGUUUCUUCACACAUGUCUGGCAACCAGGGCGUUAAUAAACUGUUAAUCAUCCGGGGCUGAGCCCAGAUUCUUCUCCAUUAUUAUUAUUAUUAUUAUUAUUAUUAUUAUUAUUAUUAUUAUUAUUU